rnacentral:rRNA from 1 species
UAACGGCGAGUGAAGCGGCAACAGCUCAAAUUUGAAAUCUGGCUCUUUCAGGGUCCGAGUUGUAAUUUGUAGAAGAUGUUUCGAGUGUGGCUCCGGUCUAAGUUCCUUGGAACAGGACGUCAUAGAGGGUGAGAAUCCCGUAUGUGACUGGUUGCCUUCGCUCAUGUGAAACUCUUUCGACGAGUCGAGUUGUUUGGGAAUGCAGCUCAAAAUGGGUGGUAAAUUUCAUCUAAAGCUAAAUAUUGGCCAGAGACCGAUAGCGCACAAGUAGAGUGAUCGAAAGAUGAAAAGCACUUUGGAAAGAGAGUUAAACAGUACGUGAAAUUGUUGAAAGGGAAGCGCUUGCAACCAGACUUGCGCGUAGUUGAUCAUCCGGGGUUCUCCCCGGUGCACUCGAUUACGCUCAGGCCAGCAUCGGUUUGGGUGGUUGGAUAAAGGCCUUGGGAAUGUGGCUUCCUUCGGGGAGUGUUAUAGCCCUCGGUGCAAUGCAGCCUAUCCGGACCGAGGACCGCGCUUCGGCUAGGAUGCUGGCGUAAUGGUUGUAAGCGACCCGU